rnacentral:rRNA from 1 species
GAUGAACGCUGGCGGCGUGCCUAACACAUGCAAGUCGAGCGGCAGCGCGAGUAGUUUACUACUUGGCGGCGAGCGGCGGACGGCUGAGUAACGCGUGGGAAUUUGCCCCAAAGUGAGGAGUAACUGCCCGAAAGGGUGGCUAAUGCCGCAUAUGAUCUUCGGAUUAAAGGAUUUAUCCGCUUUGGGAGAAGCCCGCGUCGGAUUAGGUAGUUGGUGAGGUAAUGGCUCACCAAGCCGACGAUCCGUAGCUGGUCAGAGAGGAUGACCAGCCAGACUGGAACUGAGACACGGUCCAGACUCCUACGGGAGGCAGCAGUGAGGAAUCUUCCACAAUGGGCGAAAGCCUGAUGGAGCAACGCCGCGUGCAGGAUGAAGGCCUUCGGGUUGUAAACUGCUUUUAUAAGUGAGGAAUAUGACGGUAGCUUAUGAAUAAGGAUCGGCUAACUAC